AUGGCGGACAGCGCCAGCGAGAGCGACACGGACGGCGCCGGCGGCAGCGGCGGGGGCGGCGGCCCGGCGGGGCCGCUGACGGCGGGCGGCCCGGCGGCGGGGCCCGGCUCGGGGGUGGCGGGCGGCGGCUCGGGGGGCAAGGCGGGCGGGAUCGUGAUCUCGCCGUUCCGGCUGGAGGAGCUGACGAACCGCCUGGCCUCGCUGCAGCAGGAGAACAAGGUGCUGAAGAUCGAGCUGGAGACCUACAAGCUCAAGUGCAAGGCGCUGCAGGAGGAGAACCGCGACCUGCGCAAGGCCAGCGUCACUAUCCAAGCAAGGGCAGAGCAGGAAGAGGAAUUCAUCAGUAAUACUCUAUUUAAGAAGAUUCAAGCUCUGCAGAAAGAAAAAGAAACACUUGCAGUAAACUAUGAAAAGGAAGAGGAAUUUCUCACUAAUGAGCUCUCAAGAAAACUGAUGCAGCUGCAGCAUGAGAAAGCUGAACUGGAGCAGCAUUUAGAGCAGGAACAGGAAUUUCAAGUGAACAAACUGAUGAAAAAGAUUAAAAAACUGGAAAAUGAUACAAUUUCGAAGCAACUCACCCUGGAGCAGCUAAGACGUGAGAAGAUUGACCUUGAAAAUACUUUGGAACAAGAACAGGAAGCACUAGUGAAUCGUCUCUGGAAGAGGAUGGAUAAGCUUGAAGCAGAAAAACGAAUUCUGCAGGAGAAAUUAGACCAGCCAGUAUCAGCUCCACCGUCACCCAGAGACAUAUCAAUGGAGAUAGAUUCUCCAGAAAAUAUGAUGAGACAUAUCAGAUUUUUAAAGAAUGAAGUCGAGAGGUUAAAGAAACAACUAAGGGCUGCACAGUUACAGCAUUCGGAGAAGAUGGCACAAUAUUUAGAAGAGGAGCGACACAUGAGAGAAGAAAACUUAAGACUUCAAAGAAAAUUACAGAGGGAAAUGGAACGUAGGGAAGCACUCUGCAGGCAACUGUCAGAAAGUGAAUCUAGCUUAGAAAUGGACGAUGAAAGAUAUUUUAAUGAGAUGUCUGCACAAGGAUUAAGACCUCGCACUGUGUCCAGUCCUAUCCCUUAUACACCCUCACCAAGUUCUAGCAGACCUAUAUCACCUGGUCUGUCAUAUGCAAGUCACACAGUUGGUUUCACACCACCAACCUCACUGACUAGAGCUGGAAUGUCUUACUACAAUUCCCCAGGCCUUCAUGUGCAACAUAUGGGACCAUCCCAUGGUAUUACAAGGCCUUCACCACGAAGAAGUAACAGCCCCGACAAAUUUAAACGUCCCACUCCUCCUCCUUCUCCAAACACGCAGACCCCAGUGCAGCCACCUCCGCCACCACCUCCACCACCUGUGCAACCUACGGUCCAAUCCGCAGCAUCGCAGUCAGCCACUUUUCAACAUUCAGUUCAUCCCUCCUCUCAGCCUUAGUGCAUGUGCUCAGCAGUCUGUAUGUCAGAAGUGGACUCAUAACAUGGAGCAGUUUACUAAAAGCCAAAGGCUUACUUGGCAUAUUUGGAUUUGACUUAUUUGCACUGAGGUUAUAUAGGCUUCACUGUUAAUUGUGUUGUAAACGUUUGUAUAAAAUGCAGCCAGUGUUGUGGGUCUACAACACUAACUUAACAAAGUUUUCCAUCAGUGUUUACUUGAACUACAUGUAUGUCCAUUCUCUGGCUGGAACAUUUGCUACUCUGUUUGGUAAUACGGCAUUAUGUCGUUUUGCUUGGCUCCAAAGCUUCAUUUUCCUGGCUUUUAGGUUUGUAAAAUUAAAGGGAUACCUUUUUAUAUUUUUUCAUGACAAUUUGCAGAAAAUUAAAGGCAUGAUGGGCUAUAUGAUAAAUUCUGAAAUAUUACAGUGUUUACCAAGCUUAUGGAAAAUCAGCACUACGUUUCAGUCAUUUGAAAUAACAGCUUCUAGUGCAAAAGUGAGUCAGACACUCUAAUCAGUGCCCAAGACAUAUACUCUAUUGUAUUACGUAGUAAAUAAGCUUACUUCAGCACACAGGACACAUCCAUACUUCUCCUGUUUAAAAGCACCUCAAACGUAUGGUACAGUCUGCAUUUUACAGUGAGGGAACUGGCUUGUUGGAGUCUGUGGAAUGUACAAUCCGUGGACCUUAAGAUUUGAUGAUUUGACUUGACAUUUACGUUGACCUGUAAGCUGCCCAUACUGUGUGAUUGGUCACAGUUAACUUCGGGAUCUGGCUUGGACACUGGAAUGCAGCUGACACUGUAGAGCAUUAAGAGUUUAUUUUAUCCACGGUUUGUUCCAGGGAAGUUCUUUGGAAGAAGAGGUAGGACUGUUUGGAGAUAGUCUUCCAGCUAACAGCCAGAUAAGAUUGUUUUAAAUACAUGUACUCCUCUAAGAGCAUAUUCCCAAGGGCAGAAAGGAAUAUCAGAGUUUUUCAAGAAAGUGUCAGUGCUUUUCCAUUGGUAGUCGCUGUACUGGAGCUGAACAGAACAGGAUUCCUUUCCUGUUACAGUGUUCAUGUUCAGGAAUCUGUCUGCUUGGGUGGAAUCCCUGUGUACUUCAGCUGAAUGAAAAAUGCAGUCUUGGAAGCAAUGAAAACGAGAAAGCUUCCUGGGAUCUGUGCGAGUUGCACUGCUGACAGGAGACAAUUUAGACCCCAUAUAUUUUGUUAAAGAAAUGGAAACUGAUCAUGGAGACAAAUAAAAG